UACGGGGGGGGCAAGCGUUGUUCGGAAUUACUGGGCGUAAAGGGCUCAUAGGCGGCCAACUAAGUCAGACGUGAAAUCCCUCGGCUUAACCGGGGAACUGCGUCUGAUACUGGAUGGCUUGAAUCCGGGAGAGGGAUGCAGAAUUCCAGGUGUAGCGGUGAAAUGCGUAGAUAUCUGGAGGAAUACCGGUGGCGAAGGCGGCAUCCUGGACCGGCAUUGACGCUGAGGAGCGAAAGCCAGGGGAGCAAACGGG
rnacentral:rRNA from 1 species